AUGGCAAAGGGGUUCUUCUCUUCUUCCUCCUCGCGCGCUCAUCGCCGUGUAGCUUGGGUGCUGCUUUGCCUUUGCAUGCUCCUAUGCACAGUGCACGGAGGAUCAUCAUCUCGCAAGGUCUACAUAGUUUACCUAGGCGACGUGAAGCAUGGGCACCCCGACCACGUUGUGGCUUCGCACCAUGACAUUCUCACCACUCUUCUCGGAAGCAAGGAAGAAUCUUUGGCAUCUGUGGUGUACAACUACAAGCAUGGCUUCUCAGGCUUCGCCGCCAUGCUUACACCGGAGCAAGCAGAGCAACUUGCAGAGUUUCCGGAGGUAAUCAGCGUCGAACCAAGCAGAAGGCACAAGGCAAGCACCACGCGGAGCUGGGACUUUCUUGGGCUCAACUACCAGAUGUCUGGCAGUGCGCUUCCCCACGGGACCAACUACGGAGAGGAUGUGAUCAUCGGGGUGAUUGACACCGGGAUCUGGCCGGAGUCGCGAAGCUUUAGCGAUGAAGGGUACCCACCGAUACCAUCAAGGUGGAAAGGGAUGUGCCAACUCGGGCCGGACUGGGACAAGAACAACUGCAGCCGCAAGAUCAUCGGCGCACGGUUCUACGACACUGGAGUUUCUGAGGAGGCCCUCAAGACGGACUCGCUCUCGCCUCGUGACUAUAGCGGCCACGGCACGCAUUGUGCAUCCACCGCGGCGGGCUCGGCCGUGCAGGCGGCCAGCUUCAAUGGCCUCGCCAAGGGGGUAGCACGGGGAGGCGCACCACACGCUCGCAUAGCGGUCUACAAGACCUUAUGGGGCGUUGACGGCUUCGGCGAUACGUCGGCCUUUCUUGCUGCCAUCGAUGAUGCAAUCCACGAUGGUGUGGACGUGUUAUCGUUGUCCGUCGGAUUCCCGGACGAGAACUCGUUCGGCGCCCUGCAUGCGGUUCAGAAGGGGAUCACCGUGGUGUACGCGGGCGGGAACGACGGACCUAGGCCUCAGACCCUUGAGAACACUUCGCCGUGGGUCAUCACCGUGGCAGCGAGCAAGGUUGAUCGGUCAUUUCCGACGGCGAUCACACUAGGAAACAACCAGCAUAUACUGGGUCAGUCCCUCAACUACCACGUGGUGAACUCAUCGUCCGGGAGCAGCCGUUUCACAGGCCUUGUGUCAGACGAAUGUACCAUAGCAUCUCUUAAUGCCACUGCCAAGGAUGUGAAAGGGAAAAUCCUUCUCUGUUCUCCCUUGCCAGAUGAUCCAUUGGCGAUCGCCCCAGGGAUCGUUUUCAACAACGCGUUACAAUAUGUCCGGAAUGGCGGGGGAUCCGGACUUAUUUUCGCUCAAUAUACAACAGACCUUUUAGGUGUUUGCCAAGGCAUAGCCUGCGUCAUCGUGGACCUUGACACUGGUAAGAAGAUCAAAAAAUACAUCCUUGGCACAAGCUCUCCCAUGGCAAAGAUCGAACUGGCACACACCGUUAUCGGGAAAGAGAUAUCCGCACCAAAAGUGGCCUCGUUCUCCUCUAGAGGUCCAUCACCUGAUUACCCCGAAAUUAUCAAGCCUGACAUAGCUGCACCGGGAGCCAACAUCUUGGCAGCAGUGGGAAAUUCCUACGUAUUUAUGUCUGGAACGUCAAUGGCAACCCCACACGUUGCUGGCAUCGUCGCACUGUUGAAAGCUCAGCACCCAGAUUGGUCUCCUGCGGCGAUUAAAUCAGCCAUCAUAACCUCCGCCCAUGUAACCGACGAGCGUGGCAUGCCGAUACUGGCAGAAGGGGUGCCUCGAAAAAUCGCUGACCCAUUCGACUACGGCGGUGGGAACAUCAAUCCUGGCGGCGCGGCCGAUCCCGGUCUGGUCUAUGACAUCGAUCCCCGCGACUACAAUAAAUUCUUCGGGUGCACCAUCAUCAGGAGGGCAAACGUGAGUUGUGAUGCGACAACGUUACCGGCAUAUCACCUGAACCUGCCCUCUAUCGCGAUCCCUGAGCUGAGGCAUCCAAUCACCGUGUGGAGGACAGUGACAAACGUCGGCGAGGUCAACUCCGUGUACCACGCACAAGUCCAGAGCCCAGCUGGAGUCAAGAUGGAGAUUGAGCCGCCGGUGCUCGUUUUCAACGCCAUGAACAAAGUUCAGACGUUUAAGGUGAAGUUGUCGCCUAUGUGGAAGCUGCAAGGGGACUACACCUUCGGCAGCAUUACGUGGCAUAAGGAACAGAAGGCUGUGAGGAUUCCUGUUGCAACCCGAAUUACAAUUCAGGACUUCUAUGCGGAUGUUGCAUAA
rnacentral:rRNA from 1 species